rnacentral:piRNA from 1 species
UAUGAUUUUCAGUUUAUUCUC